AGGAGGUCCCGCCUGCCCUGUGACCAAAAGUUUAACGGCCGCGGUAUUUUAACCGUGCAAAGGUAGCGCAAUCAAUUGUCUUUUAAAUGAAGACCUGUAUGAAUGGCAUAACGAGGGUUUAACUGUCUCUUUUUUCAGGUCAAUGAAACUGAUCUGUCCGUGCAGAAGCGGACAUAUUAACACAAGACGAGAAGACCCUAUGGAGCUUUAGACGCCCACCAACCACGAAAAGCAGCCUACCUUAACAGAUGCUCUAAACAACGCGGUCCUGGUACAAACGUCUUCGGUUGGGGCGACCGCGGAGGAGAACAAAGCCUCCGAGAGGAAUGGGAACAAACCCUAAAACCAAGAGCCACAGCUCUAAGUCACAAAAAAUUUGACCGACAAUGAUCCGGCUUACUGCCGAUCAACGGACCAAGUUACCCUAGGGAUAACAGCGCAAUCCCCUCCCAGAGUCCAUAUCGACGAGGGGGUUUACGACCUCGAUGUUGGAUCAGGACAUCCUAAUGGUGCAGCCGCUAUUAAGGGUUCGUUUGUUCAACGAUUAAAGUCCUACGUGAUCUG
rnacentral:rRNA from 1 species